GUCUCACUGGGAGGACAGGCUCAAAACAACUGCUAACACGCAGACAUCAACCUCUAUAUGAACAUCAAAAUCCCAUAAAAAAACUAUGAACAUCUUCCCAUUAAUGUUUGCUCUCAAUGCUGUGCUGGUUUCAGGAUCUUCUCUCAGUGAUCAAGUCCACCAAACUCCAUUUUACAUUCAAGCAAGCCCAGGAGAAACAGCCGGAAUCAACUGCUCUCACAGUAUUCAGAGCUACAACCGAAUCCUCUGGUACAAGAGAUCAGAGGACAGACAGCUACAAUUUCUGGGCUACGUGUAUCAGGGCACCAGCAAUCCUGAACCUGGAGUAAAUAUGGUAAUGAAAGGGAGUGCAGGUGUAGGCCAGACCUGCACUUUGACAAUUAAAGAGCUCACUGUGAGCAGCAGUGCAGUUUAUUUCUGUGCUGCUACAGGUGUGAACGACUACAACCCUGCUUACUUUGGCAAAGGCACCAAGCUCACAGUUUUAGAUCCAGAAAUUGAAGUGAAAAAACCAACAGUGAAAGUUUUACAUCCGUCAGAACAAGAAUGCAAAGACCACAACGGGAAGAAGAAGAAGACCCUGGUCUGUGUGGCCUCUAAUUUUUACCCAGAUCAUGUCAGCGUGUCCUGGGAGCGCAAUAACCAGAAAAUCACUGAUGGCGUGGCAACUGACACCGCCGCCAAGAGGCAUGGAAGUUUUUACAAAAUCUCCAGCCGGCUGACGGUCCCUAUCAGAGAAUGGCUAAAUUCUGGAAAUGAGUUUAAGUGCAAUGUCAGCUUCUUUGAUGGAUCCUCUACCAGUUAUCACAAUGAUACCAUUUUAUCAAACACAACAGACACAGGCAUGUCUCGAGAGAACUACCUGAAGAUCACCCAGAACGCCAAACUCUCCUACAGUGUCCUGAUUGUGAAGAGCUGCAUCUACGGAGCCUUCAUCUGCUUUCUGGUGUGGAAGCUUCAGGUAAAACAUGGAAAGCAAAACAAGUGAGAGCUGAGCCGGAGUUUUGAUUCCUCCUCCCUGUACAUAAUAAACCUGAUCUGCUGUUAUUCUGUAUAGCCAUGCAAAUAAAUUACCAAUAGUAUUUUUUUUUCCAGAUACUGUCUAAGUGCUUGUUUAUCUUCAUAUGCUCUUUAACAGAAGUGUUUUAAAUAAAUGUCAUGUGUGUCCGAUUUUCUCAGUAGUUUGUUUGGAAAAUUAAUAAAAAGACAUCAUUUGGGUCACAAA